GAGCAUAUUGAAUUUUUCUCCUGGCAGAAGAAUAUUUUUCACUUCUUGAAAAAAUGAAGACUUUUCAAUUUUACAACGACUUGAAAGAAUAUCUUUUACGGGAAGAAUUUAGCAACAAUUUAACGGUCAGAGAGCGAAGUGAAAUACGACGUGUGUCCGUGAAUUUUAUGAUUAAAGUCCAUCAUCCAUGCCCUGGCUACUCUACAGGGUGUAUCAGGACAGGAGGCAGAAGACUUAUUUCUUGGUGGCCCAGAAUACAGUAUCAGUGAAGUGGAAGAAUUUAACUGAAAGAUAGGGCAGCAAUUAAAGAAGGAGGGAAUGCUGUGAUAUCUCUUAGAA